GAGUUUGAUCAUGGCUCAGGAUGAACGCUAGCGGCAGGCUUAACACAUGCAAGUCGAGGGGUAUAGUUCUUCGGAAUUAGAGACCGGCGCACGGGUGCGUAACGCGUAUGCAAUCUACCUUUCACAGAGGGAUAGCCCAGAGAAAUUUGGAUUAAUACCUCAUAGUAUAAUGACUCGGCAUCGAGAUAUUAUUAAAGUCACAACGGUGAAAGAUGAGCAUGCGUCCCAUUAGCUAGUUGGUAAGGUAACGGCUUACCAAGGCUACGAUGGGUAGGGGUCCUGAGAGGGAGAUCCCCCACACUGGUACUGAGACACGGACCAGACUCCUACGGGAGGCAGCAGUGAGGAAUAUUGGACAAUGGGCGCAAGCCUGAUCCAGCCAUGCCGCGUGCAGGAUGACGGUCCUAUGGAUUGUAAACUGCUUUUGCACAGGAAGAAACAACGCUACGUGUAGCGUCUUGACGGUACUGUGAGAAUAAGGAUCGGCUAACUCCGUGCCAGCAGCCGCGGUAAUACGGAGGAUCCAAGCGUUAUCCGGAAUCAUUGGGUUUAAAGGGUCCGUAGGCGGUUUAGUAAGUCAGUGGUGAAAGCCCAUCGCUCAACGGUGGAACGGCCAUUGAUACUGCUAGACUUGAAUUAUUAGGAAGUAACUAGAUAUGUAGUGUAGCGGUGAAUGCUUAGAGAUACAUGGAUACCAAUGCGAGGCAGGUAUACUAUGGAU
rnacentral:rRNA from 1 species